GAUGAACGCUGGCGGCGUGCCUAAUACAUGCAAGUCGAGCGAACGGACGAGAAGCUUGCUUCUCUGAUGUUAGCGGCGGACGGGUGAGUAACACGUGGAUAACCUACCUAUAAGACUGGGAUAACUUCGGGAAACCGGAGCUAAUACCGGAUAAUAUUUUGAACCGCAUGGUUCAAAAGUGAAAGACGGUCUUGCUGUCACUUAUAGAUGGAUCCGCGCUGCAUUAGCUAGAUGGUAAGGUAACGGCUUACCAAGGCAACGAUGCAUAGCCGACCUGAGAGGGUGAUCGGCCACACUGGAACUGAGACACGGUCCAGACUCCUACGGGAGGCAGCAGUAGGGAAUCUUCCGCAAUGGGCGAAAGCCUGACGGAGCAACGCCGCGUGAGUGAUGAAGGUCUUCGGAUCGUAAAACUCUGUUAUUAGGGAAGAACAUAUGUGUAAGUAACUGUGCACAUCUUGACGGUACCUAAUCAGAAAGCCACGGCUAACUACGUG
rnacentral:rRNA from 1 species